GAUGAACGCUGGCGGCGUGCCUAAUACAUGCAAGUCGAGCGAACAGACGAGGAGCUUGCUCCUCUGACGUUAUCGGCGGACGGGUGAGUAACACGUGGAUAACCUACCUAUAAGACUGGGAUAACUUCGGGAAACCGGAGCUAAUACCGGAUAAUAUAUUGAACCGCAUGGUUCAAUAGUGAAAGACGGUUUUGCUGUCACUUAUAGAUGGAUCCGCGCCGCAUUAGCUAGUUGGUAAGGUAACGGCUUACCAAGGCAACGAUGCGUAGCCGACCUGAGAGGGUGAUCGGCCACACGGGAACUGAGACACGGUCCAGACUCCUACGGGAGGCAGCAGUAGGGAAUCUUCCGCAAUGGGCGAAAGCCUGACGGAGCAACGCCGCGUGAGUGAUGAAGGUCUUCGGAUCGUAAAACUCUGUUAUUAGGGAAGAACAAAUGUGUAAGUAACUAUGCACGUCUUGACGGUACCUAAUCAGAAAGCCACGGCUAACUACGUG
rnacentral:rRNA from 1 species